rnacentral:lncRNA from 10 species
GCCGAGCCUCGAUUGGUUCCUCUGUCUUUCACUCUGGGAGACGUUUGAGACCCAGCGUCUCUAGAUCUCGUAUUUGAAUUUGUGGCGCUUGGUGUCCGCGAGUUGCCGAAUGAAGCUGAGCGUCUCAGUGGAACCAGGGAUCUCAGGGAGGGGAAGGUAUAAAAUUUUCAAAUGGAGGAGUAUACCUGAACCUAAUCAUGGAUGUGAUUUUAUAUACAGAUAAGCUGAUUCUAAAACUUACAAGAAUGGCAAAGAAACAAGAAGAGCUUAAACUGCAAUCAUCAACAGAGAAGCUUUCUGCAACCAAAGUGAAGACUGAAGCCUUAGGCUAUGGCAGAAGUUGGGCGCCUGAAGUACACGUGGAAAUAUGCCAACUGAACAUUGGACUACCACGUCAAGGGUCUCCUACCCCUGGGCCAUGGAUCAAUACCAGUCUGUGACCUGUUAGGAACCGGUAGCAGGAGCGCCUGCCCCUGGCUCAGCGCCCGGUGCCAACAGAACACCUUUCAGGAUCCACAGCAACGCAGACAACGGUACAGACGCCAGCCGCUUGGCACACUCUGCUUUUCGCACUGGUGCAGGGGAACAGGGAAAGCCCGCAGCAAAGCUAGCAACUGCUGAGGGAGCGUUGCCUGCUUAUUGGAGUAGAGCCGAUAGAAGUCGACGUGGCAUUGCCUCAUCCUUUACAAUAU